rnacentral:sRNA from 1 species
CGACUCGAGCGAAGCGAGAGAACGUUGCCGCAGGCAACGGCCCGAAGGGCGAGGCGCUUUAGCGCCGAGUAAUCCUUCCCCCACCACUG